CCCCUCUCAGCGUCACACCUGGAGAGUUUCCAGGACUCUACCAGUCUCGGCUAUGGGAGGGAGAGUCAAGCAGCGGCCUAACCAUUCCGUUCCUAGCUUGGGCGGUGGCUAGCGAGCGGAAGGCAAUCUGCUUCAAGC